GGAGUUAGCCGGUGCUUCUUCUGUGAGUGAUGUCCUUCCUGCCGGCUAUUAACCCGCAGGCCUUCUUCCUCACUGAAAGUGCUUUACAACCCGAAGGCCUUCUUCACACACUCGGCAUGGCUGGAUCAGGGUUGCCCCCAUUGUCCAAUAUUCCCCACUGCUGCCUCCCGUAGGAGUCUGGGCCGUGUCUCAGUCCCAGUGUGGCUGAUCAUCCUCUCAGACCAGCUACGGAUCGUCGCCUUGGUGAGCCGUUACCUCACCAACCAGCUAAUCCGACAUAGGCUCAUCCGAUAGCGCGAGGCCCGAAGGUCCCCCGCUUUCCCCCGUAGGGCGUAUGCGGUAUUAGCCUGGGUUUCCCCAGGUUAUCCCCCACUACCGGGCAGAUUCCUAUGCAUUACUCACCCGUCCGCCGCUCGCCACCAGGGAGCAAGCUCCCCGUGCUGCCGCUCGACUUGCAUGUGUUAGGCCUGCCGCCAGCGUUCAAUCUGAGCCAUGAUCAAACUCUGA
rnacentral:rRNA from 1 species